AUUGAACGCUGGCGGAAUGCUUUACACAUGCAAGUCGAACGGUAGAGGGGCAACCCUUGAGAGUGGCGAACGGGUGAGUAAUACAUCGGAACGUGCCCAGUCGUGGGGGAUAACGUAGCGAAAGUUACGCUAAUACCGCAUACGAUCUGCGGAUGAAAGCGGGGGACCGAGAUGCCUCGCGCGAUUGGAGCGGCCGAUGUCAGAUUAGGUAGUUGGUGGGGUAAAGGCCCACCAAGCCGACGAUCUGUAGCUGGUCUGAGAGGACGACCAGCCACACUGGGACUGAGACACGGCCCAGACUCCUACGGGAGGCAGCAGUGGGGAAUUUUGGACAAUGGGCGCAAGCCUGAUCCAGCCAUUCCGCGUGCAGGAUGAAGGCCUUCGGGUUGUAAACUGCUUUUGUACAGAACGAAAAGCUCUGGGUUAAUACCCUGGGGUCAUAACGGUACUGUAAGAAUAAGCACCGGCUAACUACGUGCCAGCAGCCGCAGUAA
rnacentral:rRNA from 1 species